GGGCCAAAAGGACACAACCUUCUUCAACACUUAUUGACUAAUCAUCAGUAAUUAAGAACAAACACCAAUAAAUAGUUAAUAGAUGAGAUGAAGAUGCCGACCAAUGGCACUCAGAAAUACAGUAGCUGGGUUUCGUAAGAUAAAUGAAACUGUUUAUUUGUUGUUUCACUGGGUGUUUCACUUGUGUAGCUCAUUUCAGGUUUCUGGCCAAGGGGGAUAGGUUGUGGUUGUUUCAGCCUCUUUAGGGCAUAAACUGACAAAAACUUGUUUUCCAUUGCUUCCUUCCUUACUCCUCAUCAGUGCCUCCAACACCUGCAUCUCUAAGAUUGUGGUAUGAAAGGUAUAUCUUGGAAAAAGCUUGGCUUGGUUAGUCGUGUGAAAGGGAGGCCAAGAAGCGAUACUGAGGCUUUUAUACAUGGCAUAAGGAGGACUAAAUACUAGAGAGCAAGCUAAAAUGUUUAAGUUAACAGGUUAUGCUGGCACAAGAGCAAAUGUCUAUGAAUGAUGCAUGCGGUCAGACUGGGGGAUCUCAAUGAAAGGAGAGCAGCUCUAGGACAACCUUCCAGGCAGAGUUGUGGGAGCAGAAGAUCACAUUGCUUUAAAGAUGGAGUUUCAUUGACUUGUGAAUAAUAAUAUCAGGUGGGGGAAGGUGAUUGACAUUGGAAGCUGCUAGACAUGCUUUUCAACCUGAAGUCCUCUGAUACACAUGAUUUAUGAUGCAGGAUCUACUGAGCUCACACCAGAGCUCGUCAAACUUCUGAAAUCUCCCUUGGAAAAUGAGACCACCUAGUCCUGGCACGUGUGGUUAAAGACCUCUGCACCUUAAUGUUUGUGGUAGUACUUAAAACACUCAUCCUCAGUGAAAACGCUGUCAACCUUCUUCAUGGCUAUUGCACAUCUUGGCUGGGCAGCGAUGCGCGUGGGUGUGCAGGGUAUCCACACUCGGUAUCUGCUGAUGCUCCCUCAGGGGACAGAUCAUACAACAGAGCUGUUGGUUUUCUGCCACAUUUCAAGGUUCAGGGGAUCCUCUGCUUCCUCUUUCCUACUUGGUGAAAUGAUAAAAUUAUUUGGCCCAUUUACUUGGUGAUUUGUUCUCUUUCUCAUACAGACUGGUUGUUUUUUUUUGCAAAAACUGAAUCAAGCUGUAUUGUCUGAGAAUAAAGACAAGUUCCUGGUGUCAAGUUCAAAACAAUUGCAUCCAUGACUGCCACGAUUUUGAUGACCCAUAACACUGGCUCACUUCUUACUGCAAUUUAAAGUGAUGAUUCACAUCCUCCUGAGUUGCAGAUGGUAAAUCAGUUCAUCUGGUGAAGCUGGAUCCUAUUGUGGUAUAGUAAAGCAGCCCUUGGUACAUACACAUCCUCCUUCUUGAAGAGCUGAUGGAGAGAAGCAGGGUCCCUCUGGUCUGUGGCUCCAGUUCCUUCUGAACAAGACGAAGAUGGAUCCAUCAGGGAGGCUGGGAUUGGGGUGGACAGGCUCUAUUCACCUCAGCUCCAGACCAGAGCUACAGAGCAAAAGCUCUGCUGUCUGUAGCUUCAGGAGACCAGAGCCAUGGAAAGAGGCAGAUCUGCAGGGCUGCCAUGCUCUUUCCUCCAGAAACACUGCCCACCAUGUCCCUGUGUCGCCCAUCUCUCCGUGCACAGCAUCCUAGCACCCAUCUCCUAACACCCACUCGCGUCCCAGUUUUGGCUGUUCCUCAACACCAUCAUGUAUUUGGCACAAAUGUGUCCCCCAGGGCAGUGCAGCACAGCCGGCAUCCUUUAGAAACCAUGGGCAAAAAUGAAGAAGCUGCCACGCAUCCAGUCCACCUGUUUUCUGUCCCAUCUGCCCUGCAAAACCAAGCAGCUGCCAGCAGCUCAUCUGCCCAAGCAGGACACCUUCCCCUGGCCAAGGCGUUCGGCUGCUCCUGUCAAAGAAGGAUGAACAUCUGCAGCAAGAUGCUGGGACCGCAUCCUGCUUCUCUAGCCAGUGAGAACUGAGCUGCUGCCAGCAAGGGAGGAGGUUUCUAUGGGUAUAUUAUCACUGGAAAUAUGCUGAUGCAUCUGUGUGGUUGACUCCCUACACAUGCUUGUCCUUCCCUGAAACGAUGUGCCCCUUUUCCUUCCCUCUACCAUCCUGUUUUAAGGUGUUCCCUUCCCUUUCUCUCCACAUCCUUGGAGCUGCCACCUGCCUGGACAUCCGCAGCAGGAGGACGGAUGUCCUGCUGAGUAGGUGUCUCUACACAGAAUCAUCCAUCACGCUGCAGUCAAGCCACAUGCCUCGAGGAUGCUGGCAUCGCGUUCAGUAAGUUAUUUGGUUAAGGACUAUUCCUUACCAUAGGAAGAAGAAAUAACGAGGAAAAUGCUAAAUUAAACACAGAGACACACAAAUAUUAAUAAGCAGGUGAUGAGGGAGAUAAUAAUGGAAGCCAGAGCUCAUCAGGUACUUACUGAUGGGCCAUGAAAAGAAUCACUGCAGCCUUGGAGAGGAUCGGCCUCGAUUUUGUAACUGAUGAGAAGAAGAAAACAUAUUGUGAAUAUUAAGAGAUUUUUUGGGGGGCUUCACACAACUUGCUAUGGGAUCUUUAGAAGGACCACAGACACGGAAAGGGAAGGAUCAGGGUGGAACAAGUAUGGGAAGAUGGCGAGGAGGGAGGUUGGAAGGGUCAGACUGGUGAGCAGGCCAUCGGGCAGGACGCUCACCUGACUGGGCCCUGCCCCUGAUCCCUGCAGUCUGGCCUGUCUUCUUGUUAAAUCCCAUUCUUAAUUGCCUUUUCUGCGUCAUUUCAGUGUCUGUCCUGUGUGCCAGCCACUGGCACACAGUCACCAGCCACCCUCCCACAUGCUGUUUGCGACUGUGCUGAGCUUCAGACUUGAAGUGAGUGCAAAGUCUCAACUGCAACAAGAAAGAAAAUGUGUUUUAUUAAGUAAUUAGAACUUGCCAACAGGUACUGAGCACAGGCCGGAUACUUAGAAAGAAGUUCCUACAAAUAAACAUAAAUCCAAUGGGACUAGGGUAAUAGGAGAGAACCUGAAAGGCCAUAAGACAACUCCAUUCCAGCUGCUUUCAGACAGACCUCACUUGUAUCAGACAAUGUGAGGAACGGCAGCAUCAACAGCUGUUGAGUUACAAACUUGUCUUUACUGAGUUUGAAGCCAGUCAAUUUUCAACACCUUGUAACAAGGGAACUGUGUUUGAAGACCAAAAGGUUGAGGUUCAAGUGUCUUCAGAUCUGGCAAGAACACUGUCCACUCAGGUACCAAAGUGAAAAUUAAAAUGCUUAUACCAUUUUUUUGUGGUGCUUUAAGCUGCUGGGGCUGUAGAGCAACCAAAUAACUGUAGUAUCACUUUCAGACAAUACUGUUGCAUAAUGAAUUCAAGUAAAGGAUGAAAACACAGAAAACUGAACUAGAACAUGCCAGUGCAGCCUUUAUUUCCCCAAAGUAACUGGAUGAAUUCAGAGAAGUUGCACUCUUGCCAUUUCACUUGUAGCUGUCAAACACAAAGCCUGAAAAGUAGGUCUCGGAAAAGUUUGGUUUACCUCUUUUUAUGAGCUUGUGUCGUGCAAAGCCAUGAAGUGAAUUAGAAUUAGACUAAGUACCUGAGGCCUCAGCAGCUGGUAAGCACUUGCUGACAGGAAGCAACAGGAGCUCCAUUCAUUGAGCUGCUGCAAACGGCCAUGGAAAGCAUUAGAGUGUUCCCUGAUAAGAGUUCAAGGCUUCUCCACAUUUCCUGUAUUCGCCCUUCUAUCCAAGAAUGACAUUGAUACUUAAGGCAUGGCUGACCACAGGAUGUCAAACUAGAAUGUUCUCUAAUUGGAAAGUCCCAGAAGUGGUAGUUUCAUCAGUUAUCUCAUUACUUUAGGCAUACAGCUGAGUUAUUUGCAUUCUCUGUCUAAACAGAAGAGCCUUAAUAUUAAUUCCACCUACAUUAUAUUUGCAUCAUUAAUAACAAGUGCAUUAUAGAAACAUAAUAUGGAGUAAACAAGACAUUUCAAAAUGUGCAAGUUGAAAGAGAAUCACUGCCAGACCCUGGCAAGUUUGAACAGAAUACACGCUCAUUUUGCUCUGAGUAAGUGGUGUUCUUUAACUUUUAUCGGUGUUCAAUUGUCUAUAGUUAUGCCCUGCCAUAAAUCUUAAACACACUGAUCCUACUACACUAAUUACAGGAUUUCCUUUUGCACAGCUAAAGGAAUUUAUAUCAUGGCCUUUACAGUGGUAUCCAAUCCCAUGGCAAAAUAAUGAACUGCAUCUUAUUAUGCACAUCAACGCUUUACUGUUUUAAGUUAACUGGAUGAUGAGUGACUUUCUUAGGAACGUUCUGCUCUUUCUUACGCACACAGGAGGUUAAGAUCUUUUAAAAGUGGAUUUUUCAUACUAUAUAUGCUGCUUUGGAAGAUAAACUUCAGAACUCUGAUAAAGUUAUUAGUAUGUUGUUUGCUCGAUUAACUUCUUGUUGCUAUUUUGAGUCUCAAGUAGCCACUGAAUGUUUGGUCAUCAGCCAUUAGCUCAUUUGAUGUGCUGGAGAGCAUUGCCAUGAACUGUAGUGAGCAGAGGACCGAGCCCUUGAUGUUCUCACUUGAGAAAUGCCUGUGUCACAGCUGCCUUUACCACAGUUGACAUCAAAUAUCUCUCCAGCAGGCAGUUUCAACAGAAGCCAAGUUUUGAGCGCACACUGAGUCUGAUUACGCUACCACGCAAUUCCACUGUAAAACCGACAUCAGUAGCAAUGACACGGGACAGACUCCCUGGGCAAUUAAUGACUUUCCUGUCAGAUAUAUUGGCAGAGUAAUGGGGAAACUUCACAGAGAGCUCCUUCGAUGUAUUAUUUUCCUCAAAACUGAAUUAUUCUUUUAGAUAGCAGCUACAUCUACUCAAGGAGAUCUAUAAUGCUUCUAAAUGCAUAAGAAAGGGGGAAGAGAACCACAGGCUGGGUAGUGUUUCUAUUUCACUUCUGUGAAAUAAGUUAUUUUUGCACCGUCAAUAAUAGCCCAAGAACUCAAGUCAGAUCUGGGAGAAAUAAAAAAACAACAAAACAAAACAAAACAACAUAUCAGAAAUGAACCUAAAUUAAAUAAGUGGCACCUCCAUUUUCAUUUAAUCAUUUAGCAUGAGACAGAAGUUUAAAUUAAUAACCCUUUCAGAGUUCUAAACCUUACCAUAUCAACUUGUUUCACU